CCCUGCCAUUUGUACACACCGCCCGUCGCACCUACCGAUUGGAUGGUCCGGUGAAGCCCUCGGAUCGCGCCCUGAUCUUCGGUGACGGGACGAGAAGUCGGCUGAACCUUACCAUCUAGAGGAAGGUGAAGUCGUAACAAGGUUUCCGUA
rnacentral:rRNA from 1 species